CUACGGGUCGCUGCAGUGAGGAAUUUUGCGCAAUGGGGGAAACCCUGACGCAGCAACGCCGCGUGAGCGAAGAAGGCCUUCGGGUCGUAAAGCUCUGUCAAGUGGGAAAAAAAUUCUUUGAUGAACAGUCAAAGGACUUGAUGGUACCACUGGAGGAAGCCCCGGCUAACUCCGUGCCAGCCGCCGCGGUAAUACGGAGGGUGCAAGCGUUGUUCGGAAUUACUGGGCGUAAAGAGCGUGUAGGCGGUUUGACAAGUCAGAUGUGAAAGCCCCGGGCUCAACCCGGGAAGUGCAUUUGAAACUGUUUCACUAGAGUAUGGGAGAGGAGAGUGGAAUUCCUGGUGUAGAGGUGAAAUUCGUAGAUAUCAGGAGGAACACCCGUGGCGAAGGCGAUUCUCUGGACCAAUACUGACGCUGAGACGCGAAAGCGUGGGGGGCAAACAGGAUUAGAUACCCCGGUAGUC
rnacentral:rRNA from 1 species